GGAUAACCCUGAUUUCCAUAUGCAGAUUUAUCUGCACUGACAGCCCCCUCUCCCUCUCUUAGUCUUUCUGUUUCCUCUCUCCCUCCCUCUCUCUCCCUCUUUCUCUUCCCCUCUCUUUCUCUUCCUCUCUGUCUUUUUGUCUCUCUUUAUGUCUAUUGCAUUAUGCUUGAAUAAUUUUCAGCUGGGGUUUUUUUUUUCUCUCCUCUUGCACAUGCUAAAAUAACUAGACAAAGAUGCAAGGUGGUUGCUGCAGUCCCUGUCUCUAGGACAAAACCAAGAAAGCUCGGGUUUGCAAUGCCACCUUUCCUUUUUUUUUUUUUUUCUUUCUUUUUUUUUUCCCCCACCCAUGCUCGGUGAUUAAACUUACCCAGGAUGGGGAAGAAAAAGGAGCUGGAAAUGAGAUAAGGUUAAGGAAAAAGCCCAUUGCAGCAGCUGCAGCCAGUGGUGUCUGCUGCCAGAUGUGCUAAGGUUCCUGGGGUCCUUGACACUAAAAGGCAGUAUUAAAAUAUUUGGAGACAAAAGCUGCAUCUUCAGUGCUCAUUUUCUUUAUUUAACAUGGCAGCAAGCACCGUGUGGGGGAAAAUCAACACGCUGGAUGUUGAAUUGGACUUUUCUCCGUUCUAGGAUGAAAGGAUGUUAUCUAUCCCGUGCCAAGAGGGAACUAAGGUGCAGGGGGAGGGGAAGAAAGUCUUCCAAACUAGCCCGCCAUGGAAGAGAGAGUGGCAUCAACAGCGUGCCCCUGUGUCUGAAAGACAUUACUCGAUGGAAGAACAGUCUGUUAGACUCCCCCUGGGCAUGAUGGAAGCGAUCCCGGUGAGGAAAGAAAAUAUUUCCAGGAACUGAAGGAAUGGUUAUAGCAUCUCUAAAGAGGACAUUUGCCCGUGACUGAUAAAUAGAAAGGAAGCUUUCUGCCACUGUAGGCUGUGCUGAAGACUGCACCUUUUCCUGCCAGGUAUGGAAUUUGCUACAGUAAUUCAAAACUUGUUGAUCACUUGUGCUGGAUUACUUCUGGCUCUUCUACUUGGAGUUGUCAGCUGAAAAGUGUAGAAACAUCAGGUGUUAAAGCCUGAUGAAAUUUCUAAGUAGCAUAAAGAAGAGCGCAGCCUGUUAUUUAGAUGUGUCAGCAGCAAAUUGCAUCGAAAUAUCUUCAAGGACGUGGUCAUUCUCUACAGACCUCCUGGUGGGUGAGAACCUUUGGGAUAGAGCCCCUGUGACCCCCCCAUGCAUAAUACUUUAAAGUAAGGAUUGAAUCCUUUUAGUGGAGGUUCUUUGGUCUGAAAAUAGGGGUGGGAUUUGCCAGCUAGUGCAGGUAAUGGGAAUGCCCCCUUUUGCAUACCACUUCCUCCAGUACAGUGACAUCUCUUCCAUCCAUUAUAUUCCUCUGCAAUCUUUUCAAAAAUAUAUUUUUUGAAAAUAUUUUUGAAAAUAUAUUUGAAACAUACUUUUCAAAAAUCAUUAUGUUUCUACCAGCACUUAUAAUUAGGUUUCAGUAUGGUAUUUGAUGCAUGUUGUAUUAUGAUAUUUUCCCUGUAAAUUCUUAUGUAUGCAUUUAUUUUCAUGAUACUUCAAUAAAAACAUCAAAAUUGAAAUUCA
rnacentral:lncRNA from 1 species